AUUGAACGCUGGCGGAAUGCUUUACACAUGCAAGUCGAGCGGCAGCGCGGGGGCAACCCUGGCGGCGAGCGGCGAACGGGUGAGUAACAUAUCGGAACGUACCCCGUCGUGGGGGAUAACACAGCGAAAGCUGUGCUAAUACCGCAUACGACCUGAGGGUGAAAGCGGGGGAUCGCAAGACCUCGCGCGAUGGGAGCGGCCGAUAUCGGAUUAGCUUGUUGGUGAGGUAAAGGCUCACCAAGGCGACGAUCCGUAGCUGGUCUGAGAGGACGACCCAGCCACACUGGAACUGAGACACGGUCCAGACUCCUACGGGAGGCAGCAGUGGGGAAUUUGGACAAUGGGGGCAACCCUGAUCCAGCCAUUCCGCGUGAGUGAAGAAGGCC
rnacentral:rRNA from 1 species